rnacentral:rRNA from 1 species
GACGAAUUCUGGCGGCGUGCUUAACACAUGCAAGUCGAACGGUAAGGCUCCAGCUUGCUGGGGUACACGAGUGGCGAACGGGUGAGUAACACGUGGGUGACCUGCCCUGCACUUCGGGAUAAGCCUGGGAAACUGGGUCUAAUACCGGAUAGGACCGCACCGUGAGGGUGUGGUGGAAAGUUUUUUCAGUGUGGGAUGGGCCCGCGGCCUAUCAGCUUGUUGGUGGGGUAAUGGCCUACCAAGGCGGCGACGGGUAGCCGGCCUGAGAGGGUGGACGGCCACAUUGGGACUGAGACACGGCCCAGACUCCUACGGGAGGCAGCAGUGGGGAAUAUUGCACAAUGGGCGGAAGCCUGAUGCAGCGACGCCGCGUGGGGGAUGACGGCCUUCGGGUUGUAAACUCCUUUCACCAUCGACGAAGGGUUUCUGACGGUAGAUGGAGAAGAAGCACCGGCUAACUACGUGCCAGCAGCCGCGGUAAUACGUAGGGUGCGAGCGUUGUCCGGAAUUACUGGGCGUAAAGAGCUCGUAGGUGGUUUGUCGCGUCGUCUGUGAAAUUCCGGGGCUUAACUCCGGGCGUGCAGGCGAUACGGGCAUAACUUGAGUACUGUAGGGGAGACUGGAAUUCCUGGUGUAGCGGUGAAAUGCGCAGAUAUCAGGAGGAACACCGGUGGCGAAGGCGGGUCUCUGGGCAGUAACUGACGCUGAGGAGCGAAAGCAUGGGGAGCGAACAGGAUUAGAUACCCUGGUAGUCCAUGCCGUAAACGGUGGGCGCUAGGUGUGGGUUUCCUUCCACGGGAUCCGUGCCGUAGCUAACGCAUUAAGCGCCCCGCCUGGGGAGUACGGCCGCAAGGCUAAAACUCAAAGGAAUUGACGGGGGCCCGCACAAGCGGCGGAGCAUGUGGAUUAAUUCGAUGCAACGCGAAGAACCUUACCUGGGCUUGACAUAUACAGGAUCGCGCCAGAGAUGGUGUUUCCCUUGUGGCUUGUAUACAGGUGGUGCAUGGUUGUCGUCAGCUCGUGUCGUGAGAUGUUGGGUUAAGUCCCGCAACGAGCGCAACCCUUGUCUUAUGUUGCCAGCACGUUGUGGUGGGGACUCGUAAGAAACUGCCGGGGUUAACUCGGAGGAAGGUGGGGACGACGUCAAAUCAUCAUGCCCCUUAUGUCCAGGGCUUCACACAUGCUACAAUGGUCGGUACAGUGGGUUGCCAGUCCGUGAGGGCGAGCUAAUCCCGCAAAGCCGGUCUCAGUUCGGAUCGGGGUCUGCAACUCGACCCCGCGAAGUCGGAGUCGCUAGUAAUCGCAGAUCAGCAACGCUGCGGUGAAUACGUUCCCGGGCCU